UACAGAGGAUGCAAGCGUUAUCCGGAAUGAUUGGGCGUAAAGCGUCUGUAGGUGGCUUUUAAGUCCGCCGUCAAAUCCCAGGCUCAACUCUGGACAGGCGGUGGAAACUACCAAGCUGGAGUACGGUAGGGGCAGAGGGAAUUUCCGGUGGAGCGGUGGAAAUGCGUAGAGAUCGGAAAGAACACCAACGGCGAAAGCAACUCUG
rnacentral:rRNA from 1 species